rnacentral:rRNA from 1 species
AACGAACGCUGGCGGCAGGCCUAACACAUGCAAGUCGAACGGAUCCUUCGGGAUUAGUGGCGGACGGGUGAGCAACACGUGGGAACGUGCCUUUAGGUUCGGAACAACUCAGGGAAACUUGAGCUAAUACCGGAUGUACCCUUAGGGGGAAAGAUUUAUCGCCUUUAGAGCGGCCCGCGUCUGAUUAGCUAGUUGGUGAGGUAAAGGCUCACCAAGGCGACGAUCAGUAGCUGGUCUGAGAGGAUGACCAGCCACAUUGGGACUGAGACACGGCCCAGACUCCUACGGGAGGCAGCAGUAGGGAAUCUUGCGCAAUGGGCGAAAGCCUGACGCAGCCAUGCCGCGUGAAUGAUGAAGGUCUUAGGAUUGUAAAAUUCUUUCACCGGGGACGAUAAUGACGGUACCCGGAGAAGAAGCCCCGGCUAACUUCGUGCCAGCCGCCGCAGUAAUAC